AAGUAUUUCGCUUUUGGUUUGGAGAUGAACGAGACAACACGAGGGUAAGUGAUGACAGAUUUUCGCAUUUCUUUAUUAAGUUAACUAUUAAAUAAGUAAACAUUACAUUACAUUUAACCCAGCUUCUUUAUGUAACGUUAUGUCUGUGUUGCGUGUGGUAAUUUGAACAUCUUUAUUUUCUGACUAACGUUAGGCAUUUCUCUUAAGCAUUUCAGAAAUCAUUAAAACCUUUCUUUUUUUUUUAGCACAGCGACAUAAUUAUGACCAACCAGAUCCCAAGUAGACAGGAACAAAUGAAGAUAUAGCGCAUAGAAAGACUUAUUCUUGGUGAUCAACUGCUAUUGACAUUUUUGAAUCGGGACAAAUGUGGAGUGAUUCGGAAGAAAAACGUUUGCAACACAUCCAUUCCAGAGUGCUGUGACAGAUAAAACUGACACACUUGAUGAGGACACAGUCAAAGCUUUAAAAGACCGUGUGAUAAAGCAGUCUUCAAUUACUACGGUGUCUGAAUUGCAAGAAGUGACCCUCCACUUAAACAUGUGACAUCUAAACUGUUUUGUGUUUUAGUUCAGCUUUUUAUAGGUUUAUCUUAAGUUGGUUAAAGGCGGAGUGCACUAUUUUUGAAAGCCAAUGUUAACAUUUGAAAUUACCUAAACAAACAUGCCUCUACCCCAAUAUAAUCUGGACCUUCUUUUGAUAGAGCCACCACACACAUACGCAACCCCGGCAAGGAUGUCGGUUAGUAGACACGCCCCUUACUGCUGGUUGGCUACAAGUGUGUUUUGGUAGUCGGCCCAAUUUCCUUUUCCAAAGCGUUUUUCAAACAUUGUGCACUCCG